GACAGAGGGUGCAAACGUUUGUUCGGAAUUACUGGGCGUAAAGCGCGUGUAGGCGGCUAUGUAAGUCGGGCGUGAAAUCCCACGGCUCAACCGUGGAAGUGCACCCGAAACCGCGUAGCUAGAGUCCUGGAGAGGAAGGUGGAAUGCUUGGUGUAGAGGUGAAAUUCGUAGAUAUCAAGCGGAACACCGGUGGCGAAGGCGGCCUUCUGGACAGUGACUGACGCUGAGACGGCGAAAAGCGUGGGGAGCAAACAGGG
rnacentral:rRNA from 1 species